rnacentral:rRNA from 1 species
AGUGAACGCUGGCGGUAGGCCUAACACAUGCAAGUCGAACGGCAGCACAGUAAGAUCUUGCUCUUACGGGUGGCGAGUGGCGGACGGGUGACGAAUACAUCGGAAUCUACUUUUUCGUGGGGGAUAACGUGGGGAAACUUACGCUAAUACCGCAUACGACCUACGGGUGAAAGCAGGGGAUCUUCGGACCUUGCGCGAUUGAAUGAGCCGAUGUCGGAUUAGCUAGUUGGGGGGGUAAAGGCCCACCAAGGCGACGAUACGUAGCUGGUCUGAGAGGAUGAUCGGCCACACUGGAACUGAGACACGGUCCAGACUCCUACGGGAGGCAGCAGUGGGGAAUAUUGGGCAAUGGGCGCAAGCCUGAUCCAGCCAUACCGCGUGGGUGAAGAAGGCCUUCGGGUUGUAAAGCCCUUUUGUUGGGAAAGAAAAGCAGCAGGUUAAUACCCCGCUGUUCUGACGGUACCCAAAGAAUAAGCACCGGCUAACUUCGUG